rnacentral:rRNA from 1 species
AACGAACGCUGGCGGCAGGCCUAACACAUGCAAGUCGAACGCCGUAGCAAUACGGAGUGGCAGACGGGUGAGUAACACGUGGGAACGUACCUUUCGGUUCGGAAUAACUCAGGGAAACUUGAGCUAAUACCGGAUGCGUGCGAGAGCAGAAAGAUUUAUCGCCGAAAGAUCGGCCCGCGUCCGAUUAGCUAGUUGGUGAGGUAAUGGCUCACCAAGGCGACGAUCGGUAGCUGGUCUGAGAGGAUGAUCAGCCACACUGGGACUGAGACACGGCCCAGACUCCUACGGGAGGCAGCAGUGGGGAAUAUUGGACAAUGGGCGAAAGCCUGAUCCAGCCAUGCCGCGUGAGUGAUGACGGCCUUAGGGUUGUAAAGCUCUUUCGCCAGGGACGAUAAUGACGGUACCUGGAUAAGAAGCCCCGGCUAACUUCGUG